rnacentral:rRNA from 1 species
GUGAACAUGAUCCACACGACUCGUACAUCCAUGAGAAGGCACGAACUCGUGCAUAGAGACACACGCGAUAUAGAGCCCAUCGUACCCACACCUAACUACUGGAUGUCUUAUCCGAUCAGCUUCGAUCACUUGGACGGCCGAACUAGUAUUCGGUGGAAAGGAUCAGAGGCCUUGGUGCUUAACCCAAUAAUCGACGGAUACCAUCUCACCCAUGUCCUCAUGGACGGCGGCAACAGUCUCAAUCUAAUAUAUGAGGACACUGUCCGCAGGAUGGGGAUAGACCCAUCCAGAAUUAGUCAAAGCAACACCACCUUUGAAGGGGUGAUACCA